rnacentral:rRNA from 1 species
CCUGGUGGCUAUGGCGGGGUGGCUGCACCCGAUCCCAUUCCGAACUCGGCCGUGAAACGCCCCAGCGCCGAUGGUACUAUGACUUAAGUCAUGGGAGAGUAGGUCGUUGCCAGGU